GAAAUGCGAUAAGUAGUGUGAAUUGCAGAAUUCAGUGAAUCAUCGAAUCUUUGAACGCACAUUGCGCCCUUUGGUAUUCCUUAGGGCAUGCCUGUUCGAGCGUCAUCUAAACCUUCAAGCCCUGCUUGGUGUUGGGUGCCUGUCCCGCCUCCGCGCGCGGACUCACCUCAAAUCCAUUGGCGGCCCCCGCGUCGGCCACGAGCGCAGCAGAAACGCGAACUCGUGAGCCCGUCCGGGCGGCUCCCAGAAGCUACACCCACCCCGUUUGACCUCGGAUCAGGUAGGGAUACCCGCUGAACUUAAGC
rnacentral:misc_RNA from 1 species